GUCACUCAUCUUCUUCGGGCACAAUUAGCAGCAUUCUUUGCUAGAACCCCACUCGUUCUUGUAUCAUAUGUAUGUAGAGCCAAUCGGGGAGAAGCCAUGAGCAUCAACACCAUGACUAAUGAAGGACUCGUCCUGAGCGGCGAGUUCCGCAAGGCCGCGAAAGAAACAGCGGAGGCUUCCGAGGACAAACGCAAGGCGCGGGGUGCCGUUGAAGAAGCCACGAAAGAUAACAAGGUAACCAGUGCGCUUGAUGCUCUGGUCAAGUACAUCCCGACAGAGUCGAUAACUUUGUACAUCGCCACCGUUGCAGCAACCCCGGCUAUCAAGUCACAAUGGUCCUUUGUCACCCAUAUGGGUCUCUAUUGGGUCUUUGUGGUUCUCACACCGAUCUUGGUGUUGUUGAUCU
rnacentral:misc_RNA from 1 species